rnacentral:rRNA from 1 species
AUUGAACGCUGGCGGAAUGCUUUACACAUGCAAGUCGAACGGCUGCACGGGGGCAACCCUGGUGGCGAGUGGCGAACGGGUGAGUAAUACAUCGGAACGUGCCCGGUCGUGGGGGAUAACGUAGCGAAAGUUACGCUAAUACCGCAUACGAUCUGAGGAUGAAAGCGGGGGACCUUCGGGCCUCGCGCGAUCGGAGCGGCCGAUGUCAGAUUAGGUAGUUGGUGGGGUAAAGGCCUACCAAGCCGACGAUCUGUAGCUGGUCUGAGAGGACGACCAGCCACACUGGGACUGAGACACGGCCCAGACUCCUACGGGAGGCAGCAGUGGGGAAUUUUGGACAAAGGGCGCAAGCCUGAUCCAGCCAUUCCGCGUGCAGGACGAAGGCCUUCGGGUUGUAAACUGCUUUUGUAUGGAACGAAAAGGCUCUGGCUAAUACCUGGGGCUCAUGACGGUACCGUAAGAAUAAGCACCGGCUAACUACGUG